AAAUAAUAGCCGUUAACUUUUUAUGAUAUCGGUAGUAUUAUUUAUCAAAUUUGCAAGGAAGGUUUUGCGCUCAGAGCAACUUUACAAGCAACGACGAAAUGUGGGGCGACCGUUGGUCGUCUUCUUGUUUACAGGUGGUUAGCAAGCAAAGCUUUUGUGAAUUACCGCCAUCAUCCGGGAAGAAGUGUAAAUCAGGACGAACAAACUCCAAUGAUCACUUUAGUGUUUCCCUUCAUGUACACUAUUUGCAGAGGUCAAUUUCUCUCAGAAGUUGGAGUGACGUCCCAUCCAUGCUGCCCUCCUGCUGCCCCUCAGCCAGGCUGAUGGCCUGGCUCAGAGCCGUGAGAAUGGAGGUCAGACCGAUCAGGUAGCCGUCCUCCCUGUUCCCCUCAACCCAAGGGAUGCC